rnacentral:rRNA from 1 species
CCUACGGGUGGCACCAGUGGGGAAUAUUGCACAAUGGGCGCAAGCCUGUUGCAGCCAUGCCGCGUGUAUGAAGAAGGCCUUCGGGUUGUAUAGUACUUUCAGCGGUGAGGAAGGCGGUGAGGUUAAUAACCUCACCGAUUGACGUUACCCGCAGAAGAAGCACCGGCUAACUCCGUGCCAGCAGCCGCGGUAAUACGGAGGGUGCAAGCGUUAAUCGGAAUUACUGGGCGUAAGGCGCACGCAGGCGGUCUGUCAAGUCGGAUGUGAAAUACCCGGGCUCAACCUGGGAACUGCAUUCGAAACUGGCAGGCUAGAGUCUUGUAGAGGGGGGUAGAAUUCCAGGUGUAGCGGUGAAAUGCGUAGAGAUCUGGAGGAAUACCGGUGGCGAAGGCGGCCCCCUGGACAAAGACUGACGCUCAGGUGCGAAAGCAUGGGGAGCAAACAGGAUUAGAUACCCUCGUAGUC